UGCGAAGGGGGCUAGCGUUGCUCGGAAUCACUGGGCGUAAAGGGUGCGUAGGCGGGUCUUUAAGUCAGGGGUGAAAUCCUGGAGCUCAACUCCAGAACUGCCUUUGAUACUGAAGAUCUUGAGUCCGGGAGAGGUGAGUGGAACUGCGAGUGUAGAGGUGAAAUUCGUAGAUAUUCGCAAGAACACCAGUGGCGAAGGCGGCUCACUGGCCCGGUACUGACGCUGAGGCACGAAAGCGUGGGGAGCAAACAGG
rnacentral:rRNA from 1 species